AUACGGAGGGUGCAAGCGUUACUCGGAAUCACUGGGCGUAAAGCGCGCGCAGGCGGCUAUUUAAGUUGGAUGUGAAAGCCUACGGCUCAACCGUAGAACUGCAUCCAAAACUAUUUAGCUAGAGUGUGGGAGAGGAAGAUGGAAUUAGUUGUGUAGGGGUAAAAUCCGUAGAGAUAACUAGGAAUACCAAAAGCGAAGGCAAUCUUCUGGAACACUUCUGACGCUGAGGCGCGAAAGCGUGGGGAGCAAACGGGAUUAGAAACCCUAGUAGUCC
rnacentral:rRNA from 1 species